GGAUAUAAGGGUGAUCUGGCUGCAACAUCUGUCACCCCACUGAUUGCCAGGGUUGAUGUGACUGAUCUGACUGACUAGGCAGGUGUCCCCUUCCUCCCACACUGCUCCAUGUACAUCCCUCCUGAAGCUAAUAGCCUUCCCCAAAUAGAAACUAGCCAAUCUUCAGUUAAGGGUAUACAAGUAGCAGUGCUUUCUUGAUAGAACCUCCAAACAAGCUCUCAAGAAUAGACAGGAGAGGUAUCUGAGGAGGGCAGAGUCUAAUUAAAGCUAAAUUGACAAGAUCGAUUCAAACAUGUUAAAUAU
rnacentral:snRNA from 1 species